GAUGAACGCUGGCGGCGUGCCUAAUACAUGCAAGUCGAGCGAACAGAUGAGGAGCUUGCUCCUCUGACGUUAGCGGCGGACGGGUGAGUAACACGUGGAUAACCUACCUAUAAGACUGGGAUAACUUCGGGAAACCGGAGCUAAUACCGGAUAAUAUAUUGAACCGCAUGGUUCAAUAGUGAAAGACGGUUUUGCUGUCACUUAUAGAUGGAUCCGCGCCGCAUUAGCUAGUUGGUAAGGUAACGCCUUACCAAGGCAACGAUGCGUAGCCGACCUGAGAGGGUGAUCGGCCACACUGGAACUGAGACACGGUCCAGACUCCUACGGGAGGCAGCAGUAGGGAAUCUUCCGCAAUGGGCGAAAGCCUGACGGAGCCACGCCGCGUGAGUGAUGAAGGUCUUCGGAUCGUAAAACUCUGUUAUUAGGGAAGAACAAAUGUGUAAGUAACUAUGCACGUCUUGACGGUACCUAAUCAGAAAGCCACGGCUAACUACGUG
rnacentral:rRNA from 1 species